GAUGAACGCUGGCGGCGUGCCUAAUACAUGCAAGUCGAGCGAACAGACGAGGAGCUUGCUCCUCUGACGUUAGCGGCGGACGGGUGAGUAACACGUGUAUAACCUACCUAUAAGACUGGGAUAACUUCGGGAAACGGGAGCUAAUACCGGAGAAUAUAUUGAACCGCAGGGUUCAAUAGUAAAAGACGGUGUUGCGGUCACUUAUAGAUGGAUCCGCGCCGCAUUAGCUAGUUGGUAAGGUAACGGCUUACCAAGGCAACGAUGCGUAGCCGAACUGAGAGGGUGGUCGGCCACACUGGAACGGAGACGCGGUCCAUACUCCUACGGGAGGCAGCAGUAGGGAAUCUUACGCAAUGGGCGAAAGCCUGACGGAGCAACGCCGCGUGAGUGAUGAAGGUCUCCGGAUCGUAAAACUCUGUUAUUAGGGAAGAACAAAUGUGUAAGUAACUAUGCCCGUCUUGACGGUACCUAAUCAGAAAGCCCCGGCUAACUACGUG
rnacentral:rRNA from 1 species